rnacentral:misc_RNA from 1 species
ACCUUCAUAUGAUAAAGGUACAGAAGCAGUUCCUGGUGAUUCAUUGCUUGAUCCACCAUCACCAACAUUGGUCACUCAUAUUGCCAUUCGAAAAGGCAUUAGAUCAUCUCGUGAUCCUCAUCCAAUUUUUAAGUUUUUGAGUUAUCACCGUUUGUCUCCCUCUUACUAUGCUUUUAUCUCCAAUAUGUCUAAUGUACCUAUCCUAAAGACUGUUAGAGAAGCAUUGGACCAUCUAGGGUGGUGUGCUACAAUGGUUGAGGCGAUGACUACUCUCUAUAAUAAUGGAACUUGGG